UACGUAGGGUGCGAGCGUUGUCCGGAAUUACUGGGCGUAAAGAGCUCGUAGGUGGUUUGUCGCGUUGUUCGUGAAAUGCCACAGCUUAACUGUGGGCGUGCGGGCGAUACGGGCAGACUGGAGUACUGCAGGGGAGACUGGAAUUCCUGGUGUAGCGGUGGAAUGCGCAGAUAUCAGGAGGAACACCGGUGGCGAAGGCGGCAUCCUGGACCGACACUGACGCUGAGGAGCGAAAGCCAGGGGAGCAAACGGG
rnacentral:rRNA from 1 species